GACGAACGCUGGCGGCGUGCUUAACACAUGCAAGUCGAACGGAAAGGCCCCUUUGGGGGUACUCGAGUGGCGAACGGGUGAGUAACACGUGAGUAACCUGCCCUUGACUUCGGGGUAACUUCAGGAAACUGGGGCUAAUACCGGAUAGGAAUCCUUGCUGCAUGGUGGGGGUUGGAAAGCUUCGGCGGUUUUGGAUGGACUCGCGGCGUAUCAGCUUGUUGGUGGGGGAGUGGCUUACCAAGGCUUUGACGGGUAGCCGGCCUGAGAGGGCGACCGGCCACAUUGGGACUGAGAUACGGCCCAGACUCCGACGGGAGGAAGAAGUGGGGAAUAUUGCACAAUGGGCGGAAGCCGGAUGAAGCAACGCCGCGUGCGGGAUGACGGCCUUCGGGUUGUAAAAAGCUUUCAGCAGGGGCGAAGCUUGUGGUGACGGUACCUGCAGAAGAAGCACCGGCUAACUACGUG
rnacentral:rRNA from 1 species